rnacentral:misc_RNA from 1 species
UCCGGCUUAUCACCGGCGGUUUCUUUAGAGUGCCCAACUAAAUGAUGGCAACUAAAGACGAGGGUUGCGCUCGUUGAGGGACUUAACCCGACAUCCCACGACACGAGCUGACGACAGCCAUGCAGCACCUGUCUCCGGUCCAGCCGAACUGAAAAGCUCCAUCUCUGGUGCUCGCGACCGGGAUGUCAAAGGCUGGUAAGGUUCUGCGCGUUGCUUCGAAUUGAACCACAUGCUCCACCGCUUGUGCGGGUCCCCGUCAAUUCCUUUGAGUUUUAAUCUUGCGACCGUACUCCCCAGGCGGAAUGCUUAAAGCGUUAGCUGCGCCACUAGUGAGUAAACCCACUAACGGCUGGCAUUCAUCGUUUACGGCGUGGACUAC